rnacentral:rRNA from 1 species
GACGAACGCUGGCGGCGUGCUUAACACAUGCAAGUCGAACGGAAAGGCCCUGCUUUUGUGGGGUGCUCGAGUGGCGAACGGGUGAGUAACACGUGAGUAACCUGCCCUUGACUUUGGGAUAACUUCAGGAAACUGGGGCUCAUACCGGAUAGGAGCUCCUGCUGCAUGGUGGGGGUUGGAAAGUUUCGGCGGUUGGGGAUGGACUCGCGGCUUAUCAGCUUGUUGGUGGGGUAGUGGCUUACCAAGGCUUUGACGGGUAGCCGGCCUGAGAGGGUGACCGGCCACAUUGGGACAGGGAUACGGCCCGGACGCCUACGGGAGGCAGCAGUGGGGAAUAUUGCACAAUGGGCGGAGGCCGGAUGCAGCAACGCCGCGUGCGGGAUGACGGCCUUCGGGUUGUAAACCGCUUUCGCCUGUGACGAAGCGUGAGUGACGGUAAUGGGUAAAGAAGCACCGGCUAACUACGU